AUCGCAACAGGGAGAUCAGAGAAGAACACGUACCAGCGGUAGAUUAGAUUCGGCGGAUAGGAUGACGAUUUAACGAGAGCUCGGUGUCGAUUUUUUCUUGCGAGAUUGCGAGAUUGCGAGAUUGAGAGAGAGAGAGGAGACGAGAAGAAUGAAGUCGAGAAUGCUCGAUACGUUUCCUCUACCUCUACCCCUUCGGUCUUCCUAUCAUCUCUUGACACUUGCUACCCAAGGACGCUGCUCUUCCAAGGUGUACUAGACAAUGGAGAUGUGGAAGUACUACAAGCUACUGGGAUCCGUACCUUCAAGGGCCUGAAGAUGCAUCUCAUGAAUAACCCAGGCGGAAUCAAUGGUCUGUCACAUGCCAAAGUUGACAAAAUCUGUGAAGAAGCUGAUAACAUAGUGGCUCUGCACAAGGCUGAAGCAAACAUGACCAAAACAGCUCAUAUCAUUGGCCAAAAAGAGUUUUUGCAGACUUAUCUGAAGAACAAAAAGCUACCUUGAUAAAAAUUGUUCAGUUUACAAAUGAAAUAAUCAGAGACUAACAACAUUCUCUUCCUUUUUUUUUUUUUU